UACGUAGGGUGCGAGCGUUAAUCGGAAUUACUGGGCGUAAAGCGUGCGCAGGCGGUUCGUUGUGUCGGCGGUGAAAGCCCCGGGCUUAACCUGGGAAUGGCCGUCGAAACUGGCGAACUGGAGUGUGGCAGAGGGGGAUGGAAUUCCGCGUGUAGCAGUGAAAUGCGUAGAUAUGCGGAGGAACACCGAUGGCGAAGGCAAUCCCCUGGGCCUGUACUGACGCUCAUGCACGAAAGCGUGGGGAGCAAACAGG
rnacentral:rRNA from 1 species